rnacentral:rRNA from 1 species
UACAGAGGGUGCUAGCGUUAAUCGGAAUUACUGGGCGUAAAGCGUGUGUAGGUGGUUAGAUAAGUUAGAUGUGAAAUCCCCGGGCUUAACCUGGGGACUGCGUUUAAGACUGUUUAGCUUGAGUACUGUAGAGGAUGGUGGAAUUUCCAGUGUAGCGGUGAAAUGCGUAGAUAUUGGAAGGAACACCAGUGGCGAAGGCGACUAUCUGGACAGAUACUGACACUGAGACACGAAAGCGUGGGGAGCAAACAGG